AUGAACGCUAGCUACAGGCUUAACACAUGCAAGUCGAGGGGCAGCAUUUUAGUUUGCUUGCAAACUAAAGAUGGCGACCGGCGCACGGGUGAGUAACACGUAUCCAACCUGCCGAUAACUCGGGGAUAGCCUUUCGAAAGAAAGAUUAAUAUCCGAUGGUAUAUUAAAACCGCAUGGUUUUACUAUUAAAGAAUUUCGGUUAUCGAUGGGGAUGCGUUCCAUUAGUUUGUUGGCGGGGUAACGGCCCACCAAGACUACGAUGGAUAGGGGUUCUGAGAGGAAGGUCCCCCACAUUGGAACUGAGACACGGUCCAAACUCCUACGGGAGGCAGCAGUGAGGAAUAUUGGUCAAUGGACGAGAGUCUGAACCAGCCAAGUAGCGUGAAGGAUGACUGCCCUAUGGGUUGUAAACUUCUUUUAUAUGGGAAUAAAGUAUUCCACGUGUGGGAUUUUGUAUGUACCAUAUGAAUAAGGAUCGGCUAACUCCGUGCCAGCAGCCGCGGUAAUACGGAGGAUCCGAGCGUUAUCCGGAUUUAUUGGGUUUAAAGGGAGCGUAGGUGGAUUGUUAAGUCAGUUGUGAAAGUUUGCGGCUCAACCGUAAAAUUGCAGUUGAAACUGGCAGUCUUGAGUACAGUAGAGGUGGGCGGAAUUCGUGGUGUAGCGGUGAAAUGCUUAGAUAUCACGAAGAACUCCGAUUGCGAAGGCAGCUCACUAGACUGCAACUGACACUGAUGCUCGAAAGUGUGGGUAUCAAACAGGAUUAGAUACCCUGGUAGUCCACACAGUAAACGAUGAAUACUCGCUGUUUGCGAUAUACAGUAAGCGGCCAAGCGAAAGCAUUAAGUAUUCCACCUGGGGAGUACGCCGGCAACGGUGAAACUCAAAGGAAUUGACGGGGGCCCGCACAAGCGGAGGAACAUGUGGUUUAAUUCGAUGAUACGCGAGGAACCUUACCCGGGCUUAAAUUGCAUUUGAAUAAUCUGGAAACAGGUUAGCCGCAAGGCAAAUGUGAAGGUGCUGCAUGGUUGUCGUCAGCUCGUGCCGUGAGGUGUUGGGUUAAGUCCCGCAACGAGCGCAACCCCUGUCCUUAGUUGCCAGCAUGUAGAGAUGGGAACUCUAAGGAGACUGCCGUAGAUAAUACGGAGGAAGGUGGGGAUGACGUCAAAUCAUCAUGCCCUUUAUGUCCUGGGCUACACACGUACUACAAUGGCGUCUACAAAGAGCGGCAAGCCUGUGAAGGCAAGCGAAUCUCAUAAAGGACGUCUCAGUUCGGAUUGAAGUCUGCAACCCGACUUCAUGAAGCUGGAAUCGCUAGUAAUCGCGAAUCAGCAUGUCGCGGUGAAUACGUUCUCGGGCCUUGUACACACCGCCCGUCACACCAUGAGAGUUGGGGAUACCCGAAGCCUGUGAGCCAACAGUUAAAUGAGGCAGCAGUCGAAGGUAGAAUCAAUGAUUGGGGUG
rnacentral:rRNA from 1 species